ACACUUUACCUGUAUCACAUCUUUGUGUUGUUUUAGAUGCUGUCAUCCUUUGGGAUGUUGAUGGUAAAUUACUAACCUGAAUGUCAGCAAGGAGACAUCAAUAAUGGUGUAUGCUGGUUUAUAUCACGGAAGUGAGAAUCUCUGUAAAGCUGA